rnacentral:misc_RNA from 1 species
AUGAUUUUUAAAGCGGGUCGAGCGUUAAGCGAGGCUUGCGAAAAUAUUUAAAACCCCACUCUUUUUAACUUUAAAAAAUGAUACACGAAUUUAAAAAAAGA